UGGGGAAUAUUGGACAAUGGGCGAAAGCCUGAUCCAGCAAUGCCGCGUGAGUGAUGAAGGCCUUAGGGUUGUAAAGCUCUUUUACCCGGGAUGAUAAUGACAGUACCGGGAGAAUAAGCUCCGGCUAACUCCGUGCCAGCAGCCGCGGUAAUACGGAGGGAGCUAGCGUUGUUCGGAAUUACUGGGCGUAAAGCGUACGUAGGCGGUUACUCAAGUCAGAGGUGAAAGCCCGGGGCUCAACCCGGAACUGCCUUUGAAACUAGGUAGCUAGAAUCUUGGAGAGGUCAGUGGAAUUCCGAGUGUAGAGGUGAAAUUCGUAGAUAUUCGGAAGAACACCAGUGGCGAAGGCGACUGACUGGACAAGUAUUGACGCUGAGGUACGAAAGCGUGGGGAGCAAACAGGAUUAGAUACCCUGGUAGUCCACGCCGUAAACGAUGAUAACUAGCUGUCCGGGCACUUGGUGCUUGGGUGGCGCAGCUAACGCAUUAAGUUAUCCGCCUGGGGA
rnacentral:rRNA from 1 species